rnacentral:rRNA from 1 species
GACGGAACCGUGCGAACGUUGUUCGGAAUCACUGGGCUUAAAGGGCGCGUAGGCGGCUCGCGAGGUCGGGGGUGAAAUCCCGCAGCUUAACUGCGGAAGGGCCUCCGAUACCGGCGGGCUGGAGGAAGGUAGGGGUGCGCGGAACUUCUGGUGGAGCGGUGAAAUGCGUUGAUAUCAGAAGGAACGCCGGCGGCGAAAGCGGCGCACUGGACCUUUCUGACGCUGAGGCGCGAAAGCUAGGGGAGCAAACGGG